GUUUGGCACCUUUAUGUGCUCUCUCCCAAUGGCCUGACUGAAGGAGGAACCCUCUGUGCCCACAAUUAAUUUCCGCCAGAGCCAUAAUAUUCCACUGGCGUCUUCAGAAGACUUUUAGUGACAUUGAGGUCCAUGGUCUCUGAGCCUGAUCUUCAAUGGACAUCUAUUCAAGACUUUCCUCCUGCCCACCCAACAAUCUACAUGCGCAGAGACCUUUCUCUAGAGUUCUCCACCUUCAAAGUUGUUUUGGUUGAUUCACUCACAAAUGAUUAGAGAAACGUUGUUUUUUAUGUAAUAUUACUAAUGUAAAUGUAUGAUAAAUUCCCAAAAUAUUUUGCAUGUUUUUUCACCAAGAUGCUUGAUGCUGAAACGUUGAAUGAGUUUUGAAAAUUUAAUCUCAAGAAAAUGCAUUGUUCAGGUUACUCUGGUGAUUUAUUUUACUGCUGUCUGGAGUGGAAUCGAUGUUUAAUUUGUUUGAUUAAUGAAUUUUAAUAAUGAGACAUGCUAAAAUCUGUAACAUAUCAAGCUGCUAACGAUUAGAGUUUAAGCCUGAUGUCCAAUCCACUCAAAGCAAUUUAAACCUUAAUCUCCCUCAGAUGGCAUUUGACCGAGCACAACAGGCUGAAUGUCUGUGCCGCGAAGCAAAUAUACUGAAAGUUAGUUUUUUUCCUUUGAAAUCCCUAAAUGAAAGAAACCAUAGCCUUUUUCUGAAAUAAACAUAUUUACACAUCAGUUCAUUUUGCUAAAGGGGGCUUAUGGUCUUGUAUGUUUGACAUUUCAAAGACUAAAUAAAUACAUGUGAUCUGAUACUAGCUCAUUAUUUACAGCACAUAGGACGUUUCCAAACCCUUGAGAUGGACUUUUUCUGGUGUCAUAGUUUGUCACAGCACGCACCUAGCCUCCGCCUUCUAAUCAAGACUGUGCGGCCAUUGUGAUAUGCUGAAAUUUGUAAAUGACCUUUAUGUGCAUGCUAUGUAAAGAAUGUGAGAAUGUUAGCCGUCACUCAUUGUGUUCUUUAGACAGCAGACAAUGUGCCAUGGGUUUAAAACUGCCUCUGAAGUGGGAAGGUUGAGUGUGAAUUAAAAAAUGCCAAGAAAUAA